UAAACUAGGAUUAGAUACCCUGUUAUUAAUGGGUUAAAUAUUGUGAGUAAGUGAAUUAAUGGAAACAAAAAAAUAUGGCGGUACUUUAAGCUUAUCAGAGGAAUUUGCUCUGUAAUGGAUAAAACACCUGAAUCUUACUAAAGUUAGUUAAAUCAGCUUGUAUACCACUAUAAGAGUAAUAAUUUAUUAUUAUUUCUAUAAUUUUUUCAUAAAAAAAUAAAUUAAGUCAUGGUGCAGCAAAAAUUUUAGAAUGAAGUGAAUUACAUUUCUUUUAAGAAUAAAAAAUUGAAAAAUUAUAUUAGGAUUUGAAAGUAAAUAAAUAAUAACAUGAUUUAUUGAAUUUAGCUCUAAAGUAUGUACACAUCGCCCGUCGCUCUC
rnacentral:rRNA from 1 species